rnacentral:rRNA from 1 species
CACGUAGUUAGCCGGUGCUUCUUCUCCAGGUACCGUCACACCCCGAAAGGCACUUCGUCCCUGGUGAAAGCGGUUUACAACCCGAAGGCCGUCAUCCCGCACGCGGCGUUGCUGCAUCAGGCUUGCGCCCAUUGUGCAAUAUUCCCCACUGCUGCCUCCCGUAGGAGUCUGGGCCGUAUCUCAGUCCCAAUGUGGCCGGUCACCCUCUCAGGCCGGCUACCCGUCGACGCCUUGGUGAGCCACAACCUCACCAACAAGCUGAUAGGACGCGAGUCCAUCCACCACCGCCAGAACUUUCCAACCCCCACCAUGCGAUGAGAGCUCAUAUCCGGUAUUAGCACCAGUUUCCUAGCGUUAUCCCGAAGUGAUGGGCAGGUUACUCACGUGUUACUCACCCGUUCGCCACUCGUGUACCCCCGAAAGGGCCUUACCGUUCGACUUGCAUGUGUUAAGCACGCCGCCAGCGUUCGUCCUGAGCCAGGAUCAAACUCU